CCUACGGGAGGCAGCAGUGGGGAAUCUUGCGCAAUGGGCGAAAGCCUGACGCAGCCAUGCCGCGUGAAUGAUGAAGGUCUUAGGAUUGUAAAAUUCUUUCACCGGGGACGAUAAUGACGGUACCCGGAGAAGAAGCCCCGGCUAACUUCGUGCCAGCAGCCGCGGUAAUACGAAGGGGGCUAGCGUUGCUCGGAAUUACUGGGCGUAAAGGGAGCGUAGGCGGAUAGUUUAGUCAGAGGUGAAAGCCCAGGGCUCAACCUUGGAAUUGCCUUUGAUACUGGCUAUCUUGAGUACGGAAGAGGUAUGUGGAACUCCGAGUGUAGAGGUGAAAUUCGUAGAUAUUCGGAAGAACACCAGUGGCGAAGGCGACAUACUGGUCCGUUACUGACGCUGAGGCUCGAAAGCGUGGGGAGCAAACAGGAUUAGAUACCCUGGUAGUCCACGCUGUAAACGAUGAGUGCUAGUUGUCGGCAUGCAUGCAUGUCGGUGACGCAGCUACGACAUUAAGUACACUCCGCCGUCGGGGAGGUACGGGUCGGCGAAGAAGUUAAAACGUUAAAACGGUAAAGUUAGUACGGUCGUGAGACGUCGCCGACGGACGACGACGAGGGAGGUUAGG
rnacentral:rRNA from 1 species